AUACGUAGGGAGCGAGCGUUGUCCGGAAUUACUGGGUGUAAAGGGUGCGUAGGCGGGACUGCAAGUCAGAUGUGAAAUGCCGGGGCUCAACCCCGGAGCUGCAUUUGAAACUGUGGUUCUUGAGUGAGGUAGAGGUAAGCGGAAUUCCUAGUGUAACGGUGAAAUGCGUAGAUAUUAGGAGGAACAUCGGUGGCGAAGGCGGCUUACUGGGCCUUUACUGACGCUGAGGCACGAAAGCGUGGGGAGCAAACAGGAUUAGAUACCCUGGUAGUCCACGCUGUAAACGAUGAUGACUAGGUGUGGGGGGACUGAACCCUUCCGUGCCGCAGUUAACACAAUAAGUCAUCCACCUGGGGAGUACGGCCGCAAGGUUGAAACUCAAAUGAAUUGGCGGGG
rnacentral:rRNA from 1 species